GUUUGCUGUGGAAGGGGCUUCUUGCUUCAGCUUCUACAGUGGCGCUUCCUGUUUCUGCUCCUCUUCUUUCUCGUGAGGGUAUUGCAUUUCCUGUUUGCCCUCUGGUGUCUGUUAUUUUUCAUUUUGAAUCUAUGGGACUCCCUACUGCCUAGAGACUUUUUACAGUGUUGUGAAAAGAAAGUUCAGCUGACACAGUGAAUAAAACAAGUGCUUCUGGCUGGCCUUUCGGCAGAUGACUUCAGUUAUCAAUCAAACUCCCACGCAGCUGCAGCAAUGUGCUUUGACUGAUGACCCCAUAGUCCCCUCCCUAAGGGCUGGCUAAAGGUCCUUCUUCUCUACACUAACUCAGAAACAUUUGAUUAAUAAGUGGAAAGUUUCUCUGCUGUCUUAUUUUAUCUCAAUUCUGUUCAGCUUGCAUCUUCCCCCUUCUUCCCCCCCGUUUUCAAUGCUAGAGUUCAGUACAGUCACCUUGGGUGAAACAGUUAUGUACCUGCAUUGUUACACCAUAUCUGUGAGAAUUAGAUGCUGAUUUACACAUCUAAGAGGAAUUAUUUUGCUAUGAAAAUGAGAUUCAGUUGAUUUUAACUUUUUGACAUGAGGAAUAUGGCUUGAUCCCCUUUGACCUUUCUUAUCUAUAAUUUCUAUUGUUUUUAGUGAUACUAAUUUAUGAUGCCUCACUUUGUAGAACAUUGGCAUUUGGGAGAGGCAUAUUCUUCUGAGAACCUCUUGUGUAUUGGUGGCAGAGCAGAGACAGGGAUGUCUGGCUUGUUGAUUUUUUUUAAUGAGAGACUAUGAAUUUUCUUAGAUCCUGGGCCUUGUCGUAGG